rnacentral:rRNA from 1 species
AGAGUUUGAUCCUGGCUCAGAACGAACGCUGGCGGCGUGCCUAACACAUGCAAGUCGAGCGCGAAUGGGGGCAACCCCUAGUAGAGCGGCGGACGGGUGCGUAACACGUGGGUAAUCUGCCUAGGAGACCGGGACAACCUUCCGAAAGGAUGGCUAAUACCGGAUAAGCCUACGGGGUCCUCGGACCCUGAAGGAAAAGGUGGCCUCUGUAUACAAGCUAUCACUUCUAGAUGAGCCCGCGGCCCAUCAGCUAGUUGGCGGGGUAACGGCCCACCAAGGCAACGACGGGUAGCUGGUCUGAGAGGACGAUCAGCCACACUGGAACUGAGACACGGUCCAGACUCCUACGGGAGGCAGCAGUGGGGAAUUUUGCACAAUGGGCGAAAGCCUGAUGCAGCAACGCCGCGUGUGUGAUGAAGGUCUUCGGAUUGUAAAGCACUUUCGACCGGGACGAAACCGGGUUGGCUAACAUCCAGCCCCUUGACGGUACCGGGAGAAGAAGCACCGGCUAACUCUGUGCCAGCAGCCGCGGUAAUACAGAGGGUGCAAGCGUUGUUCGGAAUUAUUGGGCGUAAAGCGCGUGUAGGCGGCUUUGCAAGUCGGGUGUGAAAGCCCUCAGCUUAACUGAGGAAGUGCGCCCGAAACUGCAGAGCUUGAGUACCGGAGAGGAUGGCGGAAUUCCCCAAGUAGAGGUGAAAUUCGUAGAUGUGGGGAGGAACACCGGUGGCGAAGGCGGCCAUCUGGACGGAUACUGACGCUGAGGCGCGAAAGCGUGGGGAGCAAACAGGAUUAGAUACCCUGGUAGUCCACGCCGUAAACGAUGAGAACUAGGUGUCGUGGGUGUUGACCCCCGCGGUGCCGUAGCUAACGCAUUAAGUUCUCCGCCUGGGAAGUACGGCCGCAAGGCUAAAACUCAAAGGAAUUGACGG